rnacentral:rRNA from 1 species
GACGAACGCUGGCGGCGUGCUUAACACAUGCAAGUCGAACGGAAAGGCCCUGCUUUUGUGGGGUGCUCGAGUGGCGAACGGGUGAGUAACACGUGAGUAACCUGCCCUUGACUUUGGGAUAACUUCAGGAAACUGGGGCUAAUACCGGAUAGGAGCUCCUGCUGCAUGGUGGGGGUUGGAAAGUUUCGGCGGAUGGGGAUGGACUCGCGGCUUAUCAGCUUGUUGGUGGGGGAGUGGCUUACCAAGGCUUGGACGGGUAGCCGGCCUGGGAGGGUGACCGGCGACAUUGGGACUGAGAUACGGCCCAGACGCCUACGGGAGGCAGCAGUGGGGAAUAUUGCACAAUGGGCGGAAGCCUGAUACAGCAACCCCGCGUGCGGGAUGACGGCCUUCGGGUUGUAAACCGCUGUCGCCUGUGACGAAGCGUGAGUGACGGUAAUGGGUAAAGAAGCACCGGCUAACUACGUG